rnacentral:misc_RNA from 1 species
UAUGCGUACGAGACAGUGCG